rfam:Thecamonas trahens ATCC 50062 unplaced genomic scaffold supercont1.20, whole genome shotgun sequence.
GCCUCCAUAGCUCAGUUCGGUAGAGCGACAGACUCUUAAUCUGUCGGCCGUGGGUUCGAGCCCCACUGGGGGCU